rnacentral:pre_miRNA from 1 species
CUAAGUAGUAGCGCCAACGGUGAAUUGAUUUUAAAUAUGUCACCUGCGUACUACUGCUUACCA